rnacentral:rRNA from 1 species
AUUGAACGCUGGCGGCAUGCCUUACACAUGCAAGUCGAACGGUAACGGGCCUUCGGGUGCCGACGAGUGGCGAACGGGUGAGUAAUGCAUCGGGAACGUACCUUUCAGUGGGGGAUAACGUAGCGAAAGUUACGCUAAUACCGCAUAUUCUGUGAGCAGGAAAGCAGGGGAUCGCAAGACCUUGCGCUGAUUGAGCGGCCGAUGUCAGAUUAGCUAGUUGGUGAGGUAAAGGCUCACCAAGGCGACGAUCUGUAGCGGGUCUGAGAGGAUGAUCCGCCACACUGGAACUGAGACACGGUCCAGACUCCUACGGGAGGCAGCAGUGGGGAAUUUUGGACAAUGGGGGCAACCCUGAUCCAGCCAUGCCGCGUGAGUGAAGAAGGCCUCGGUUGU